CGCGCUGUCAAACUACACCAGUGUUCCCAAUGUUAUCGUUUCGGCCGUCCAUAAGCAGUCGUUUGGAUCGACCAUUCCAGAAUACAACAGCAUUUCCGUAUGGGUGGAGUAUAUCACAAUUUUCAAGUUUCGUGUCUGCAUCAAGGAAUUGCACACACCCAAUGGCUACGAUUCGGUCUUCGUGUCGGCUAUUGUGAUGGGUAAGUGACGAUGAUAGACUUCCUUAAUACCCCUCAACCGUCAGAAUAUACAACCGUUGGUGCUCUGCACGGGGAUUAUUGAUAUAAUUCACAAUAUUCAACGCGUAAGAAACUGAUUUUGACAUUUCUCUAUUUUUUGACAAUUUUUAAUUGUCACAAAUGUUUUAACUUUGCCACUCAGAUAACUUUAACACUUUUUUUCAGCCUGAAAUAAUUACAAUACAGAAAAGAUUGUCUAUUUAUUGAUGAAAGAUUAUUAUAUUGCUAAAUUUAUAUCGAAAUAAAAGUAUUUGCAUUGUUA